rnacentral:lncRNA from 1 species
GGAUAAUAGAUACUGGUCCAACAGAUCAUAUGAUCUAUUCACCAAUCUUUUUUACUUCCAUUGAUUCAACCUCAACUACCAACGUACAUUUACCAAAUGGUACUUAUGUUCCAGUUAGCCACAUUAGGAAAGUCCAAGUUUCUGACAACUUAACACUUGAUAAUGUCCUAUGUGUACCCUCAUUUUCAUUCAAUCUUAUAUCGGUUUCCAAACUAACAAAAUUUUCUAAUGUUUCUGUGAUAUUUUUCGCAUCUCACUGUUUUGUACAGGAUCUGUCCACCAUGAAGAUGACUGGUUUAGCUAAGAAAAAGGAGGGCCUAUAUCAACUACUAAUUGUCCAUGAUCAAUCUCCUGCAUAUCACCUUACCACUCCAUCAGUCAAUGCUUCUCAACAUUCCAACCAUAGCUUAUGGCAUUUCAGACUUGGGCAUAUAUCCUAUACAAGAAUGUCUAAAAUUCCGUACAUUACUUUUCAAAUACCUUGUAACAAUUUAGAUAUAUGUGAAAUUUGUCCUCUAGCAAAACAAAAGAAGUUACCGUUCCCUAUCAACUACUCAAACUCGAAUAAAAUUUUUGACUUAGUUCAUUGUGAUAUUUGGG